AUGAAAUUCUCAUCCAUUCUCUUGAACCCAUCUCACCACAGUCAUCCAAAGUCUCUAGAAAAGAAAAGAAAAGAAAAGAAGAAAAAAAAAGCUAAAAAGAAAAACCAAAAUANACCAAAAUAAGACAUCUGAUCACUACAAUUUCCAGUAAAUUUCUAAACCUCUAAAUUCAGUAGACUCGGAUAACCUCAUCUGAUCCUACAAAUCAAAACAAGUGUGCAUGCAAAAUUACCNCAUGCAAAAUUACCUCACUAGAAUGGGGAUCCCUUUUUGUUUUGUUUGUUCCCCAUGCCCCCAUCCUGGUCCUAUCAGGGAGUUUUACUUUAUCAUUCCCCCUUCAUUACACAAUUAAAUGGAUGAUGUUAGGACCUAAA
rnacentral:misc_RNA from 1 species